GACGUAGGGUGCAAGCGUUGUCCGGAUUUAUUGGGCGUAAAGAGCUCGUAGGCGGCUCGUCGCGUCGGCUGUGAAAACUCGGGGCUUAACCCUGGGCUUGCAGUCGAUACGGGCAAACUAGAGUACUGCAGGGGAGACUGGAAUUCCUGGUGUAGCGGUGAAAUGCGCAGAUAUCAGGAGGAACACCGGUGGCGAAGGCGGGUCUCUGGGCAGUAACUGACGCUGAGGAGCGAAAGCGUGGGGAGCGAACAGG
rnacentral:rRNA from 1 species